UACGUAGGGACCAAGCGUUGUUCGGAUUUACUGGGCGUAAAGGGCGCGUAGGCGGCAAUUCAAGUCAUCUGUGAAAUCUCCGGGCUUAACUCGGAAUGGUCAGGUGAUACUGCUUUGCUAGAGUGCAGAAGGGGCAAUCGGAAUUCUUGGUGUAGCGGUGAAAUGCGUAGAUAUCAAGAGGAACACCUGAGGUGAAGACGGGUUGCUGGGCUGACACUGACGCUGAGCCACGACGGCGUGGGGAGCAAACGGG
rnacentral:rRNA from 1 species